rnacentral:rRNA from 1 species
UUGAACGCUGGCGGCAUGCUUUACACAUGCAAGUCGAACGGCAGCGCGGGGCAACCUGGCGGCGAGUGGCGAACGGGUGAGUAAUAUAUCGGAACGUACCCAGAAGUGGGGGAUAACGUAGCGAAAGUUACGCUAAUACCGCAUACGAUCUACGGAUGAAAGUGGGGGACCUUCGGGCCUCAUGCUUUUGGAGCGGCCGAUAUCUGAUUAGCUAGUUGGUGAGGUAAAGGCUCACCAAGGCGACGAUCAGUAGCUGGUCUGAGAGGACGACCAGCCACACUGGGACUGAGACACGGCCCAGACUCCUACGGGAGGCAGCAGUGGGGAAUUUUGGACAAUGGGCGCAAGCCUGAUCCAGCAAUGCCGCGUGAGUGAAGAAGGCCUUCGGGUUGUAAAGCUCUUUUGUCAGGGAAAGAAACGGCUGAGGAUAAUACCUUCGGCUAAUGACGGUACCUGAAGAAUAAGCACCGGCUAACUACGUGCCAGCAGCCGCGGUAAUACGUAGGGUGCAAGCGUUAAUCGGAAUUACUGGGCGUAAAGCGUGCGCAGGCGGUUUUGUAAGUCUGACGUGAAAUCCCCGGGCUUAACCUGGGAAUUGCGUUGGAGACUGCAAGGCUGGAGUCUGGCAGAGGGGGGGUAGAAUUCCACGUGUAGCAGUGAAAUGCGUAGAGAUGUGGAGGAACACCGAUGGCGAAGGCAGCCCCCUGGGUCAAGACUGACGCUCAUGCACGAAAGCGUGGGGAGCAAACAGGAUUAGAUACCCUGGUAGUCCACGCCCCUAAACGAUGUCUACUAGUUGUCAGGUCUUAAUUGACUUGGUAACGCAGCUAACGCGUGAAGUAGACCGCCUGGGGAGUACGGUCGCAAGAUUAAAACUCAAAGGAAUUGACGGGGACCCGCACAAGCGGUGGAUGAUGUGGAUUAAUUCGAUGCAACGCGAAAAACCUUACCUACCCUUGACAUGUCAGGAACCUCCGAGAGAUGGAGGGUGCCCGAAAGGGAGCCUGAACACAGGUGCUGCAUGGCUGUCGUCAGCUCGUGUCGUGAGAUGUUGGGUUAAGUCCCGCAACGAGCGCAACCCUUGUCAUUAGUUGCUACGAAAGGGCACUCUAAUGAGACUGCCGGUGACAAACCGGAGGAAGGUGGGGAUGACGUCAAGUCCUCAUGGCCCUUAUGGGUAGGGCUUCACACGUCAUACAAUGGUGCAUACAGAGGGCCGCCAACCCGCGAGGGGGAGCUAAUCCCAGAAAGUGCAUCGUAGUCCGGAUCGCAGUCUGCAACUCGACUGCGUGAAGUUGGAAUCGCUAGUAAUCGCGGAUCAGCAUGCCGCGGUGAAUGCGUUCCCGGGUCUUGUACACACCGCCCGUCACACCAUGGGAGCGGGUUUUACCAGAAGUAGGUAGCUUAACCGUAAGGAGGGCGCUUACCACGGUAGGAUUCGUGACUGGGGUG